CCUACGGGUGGCAGCAGUGGGGAAUAUUGCACAAUGGGGGAAACCCUGAUGCAGCGACGCCGCGUGAGUGAAGAAGUAUCUCGGUAUGUAAAGCUCCAUUAGUAGGGAAGUAAAUGACGGUACGUGACUAAGAAGCCCCGGCUAACUACGUGCCAGCAGCCGCGGUAAUACGUAGGGGGCAAGCGUUAUACGGAUUUACUGGGUGUUAAGGGAGCGUAGACGGCGGAACAAGUCAGAAGUGAAAAUCCGGGGCUCAACCCUGGGAGUGAUUUUGAAACUGUUUGGCUGGAGUGCAGGAGAGGUAGGCGGAAUUCCUAGUGUAGCGGUGAAAUGCUUAGAUAUUACGAAGAACACCGAUGGCGAAGGCAGCUUACUGGACUGUAACUGACGUUGAGGCUCGAAAGCGUGGGUAGCAAACAGGAUUAGAUACCCCUGUAGUC
rnacentral:rRNA from 1 species